UACGGGGGGUGCGAGCGUUGUCCGGAAUCACUGGGCGUAAAGGGCGCGUAGGUGGUUUGAUAAGGGUGUGGUGAAAGCCCGGGGCUCAACCCCGGGUCUGCCGUGCCGACUGUCAAACUCGAGGGCUGUAGAGGCAGACGGAAUUCCGGGUGUAGCGGUGAAAUGCGUAGAUAUCUGGAGGAAUACCGGUGGCGAAGGCGGCAUCCUGGACCGACAUUGACGCUGAAUGGCGAAAGCUAGGGGAGCAAACGGG
rnacentral:rRNA from 1 species